AUGUCAUAUUCAAGAAAGCUUUGCUUGACACAAUACAGCAGAGAUGUAGACCUAGGCUUCAUUGGGUUGGCAGCAUAGAUAAGCAGUGUCAUUGACAAAGGUGUCUAACAUCUGUGCACACAGAGAAGGCUGUGCUCUUCUCAGAACCUUGUUUCCAUUGGCUAGAAAAUAUGUCUGCAUGAGGGCACCUGCAGCUCCUCCCCAACCCUGCAGAGCCCGCUGCAAGAAUGCACUCGGCAAGACACAGCCUAAGGUGUGGGAACAAAGGAAGACAGAUUUGACAAGCAGGUUAUUCCCGAGCAAGUUUGAAGCCUUGUUUUUUAGCCACUGGUAAAAUUAUCAGGCUCAACACCUACUGUAAUGGAGGGUGACUAACAGAUGACUCUCCUCAGCUGCCCCUAACACCGAAGUCAAUUAUAUGAGAGGAAAGCAAUUUAAAAAUAA